GAUGAACGCUGGCGGCGUGCCUAAUACAUGCAAGUCGAGCGAACAGACGAGGAGCUUGCUCCUCUGACGUUAGCGGCGGACGGGUGAGUAACACGUGGAUAACCUACCUAUAAGACUGGGAUAACUUCGGGAAACCGGAGCUAAUACCGGAUAAUAUAUUGAACCGCAUGGUUCAAUAGUGAAAGACGGUUUUGCUGUCACUUAUAGAUGGAUCCGCGCCGCAUUAGCUAGUUGGUAAGGUAACGGCUUACCAAGGCAACGAUGCGUAGCCGACCUGAGAGGGUGAUCGGCCCCCCUGGAACUGAGACCCGGUCCAGACUCCUACGGGAGGCCGCAGUAGGGAAUCUUCCGCACUGGGCGAAAGCCUGACGGAGCAACGCCGCGUGAGUGAUGAAGGUCUUCGGAUCGUAAAACUCUGUUAUUAGGGAAGAACAAAUGUGUAAGUAACUAUGCACGUCUUGACGGUACCUAAUCAGAAAGCCACGGCUAACUACGU
rnacentral:rRNA from 1 species